rnacentral:rRNA from 1 species
GUUCAAGAGUACGUGAAACCGUUCAGGGGUAAACCUGAGAAACCCAAAAGAUCGAAUGGGGAGAUUCAUCGUCAACUUGCUUCGUAUAUAUGCGAGUAGUGAUGCGGGUUACUCUUGUAGUAUUGCUUGCACAUUCUUGUAUAUUUGUUGCGAGGUUUGUCGGCGUGCACUUCUCCCCUAGUAGAACGUUGCGACCAGUUGAAUGUUGGUCUAUGGCCCGAGUGGGAGUCCUCAAUGUCAUGUGCAUCGAAACCCCUUGGUGUUCCUGACCAACUGUUCAAUUGUAUUCAUACGGUAUUGAGCCGCUCUAUAAUGCGUCCAUGCCCGUCGCAAGCUAGGUUAAUUUUCGGUAGUGCGGACCUGGUGCCGUCGCUGAGGUUAAACCAGCUUUGGUUGUACGGUGUCUAGGACUGGCUGAAUUACCGGUCAGCGAUGCUACUGCUUUGGGUACUUUCAGGACCCGUCUUGAAACACGGACCAAGGAGUCUAACAUGUACGCGAGUCAUUGGGAUUUUUUAAAUUAAACCUAAAGGCGUAAUGAAAGUAAAGGUCGUCCUUGCGUCGACCGAGGGAGGAUGAGUUGUGUUAAGAUGCAGCUCCGCACUCCUGGGGUGUCUCAUUUUCAUGAAAAGAGG